GUCCAGCCACCCAGACCCAACCCUCCCAAACUGAUAAGCCCCACCCCUCCCAGAGCCUGCACCUGUGCUCAUCUCGCCCAGCCAGCAGGAGAGCGCGCCGAAGCGCACGGUGUGGAAGAGCACCGACUUCGCCGGCCGCCCGGGGCUCACGCCGAUGCACACGGCGGGCAGCUCGGAGCCUGGCCCGGUCAGCAGUGCAAACACCGGCAGAGGCGCUCCCUACCCGGACCAGCAGGAACUUGUUCAUGGGCUGGUACCACUGAAGCAGGACCACGGAUGUCUCCAAUGCCCCACACAGGAAGGGGCCCCCGGAGCUCGUGCCCUCUGCUGUGGAGUAAAGCAUGGAACAAGUACUGACUGUCAUCUGAACAUCAAAGAAAUGUAAAGACUGACUUCUUGUGGAAAUUACCUCA